GGAUCCCUACGGGGCGCAGCAGUGAGGAAUAUUGGUCAAUGGUCGGGAGACUGAACCAGCCAAGCCGCGUGAGGGAUGAAGGUACAGGGUAUCGUAAACCUCUUCUGUCAGGGAACAAAGGCGGGGACGUGUCCCCGGAUGAGUGUACCUGAAGAAAAAGCAUCGGCUAACUCCGUGCCAGCAGCCGCGGUAAUACGGAGGAUGCGAGCGUUAUCCGGAUUUAUUGGGUUUAAAGGAUGCGCAGGCGGUCUGUUAAGUCAGCGGUCAAAGCCCGGGGCUCAAACCCGGCCCGCCGUUGAAACUGG
rnacentral:rRNA from 1 species